CCACGCCGUAAACGAUGGGUACUAGGUGUAGGAGGUAUCGACCCCUUCUGUGCCGGAGUUAACGCAAUAAGUACCCCGCCUGGGGACUACGGUCGCAAGACUAAAACUCAAAGGAAUUGACGGGGGCCCGCACAAGCGGUGGAGUAUGUGGUUUAAUUCGACGCAACGCGAAGAACCUUACCGGGUCUUGACAUUGAUCGCCAUCUACAGAGAUGUAGAGUUCCCUUCGGGGACGAGAAAACAGGUGGUGCACGGCUGU
rnacentral:rRNA from 1 species